UUUUUAGUUCAAAAUUCGUUGAUUGGUAUGACCUCUGCAUGUGGGUUUCUGAAUAGUGCACGUACAUUGUUUGAUGAAAUGUUGGAAAGGGAUGUUGUUUUGUGGAACUCGAUGAUUAAGGCAAUGAGUCUGUUUGGGAAGAUGAACAAGGGUAACAUUAUUACUUGGAAUUCCAUGAUUACUGGGUUUUUUUCAAGGCCAGCCAUGGAACUUUUCCAUGAAAUGCAGAUCACGAGUGGUGUUAUGGUUAGGCCUCAUAAGAUCACAAUUGCCAGUGUCCUUGUAGCUUUGUGCUCAUCUGGGUGCAAUUGAUCAUGGGAUAUGGGUGCAUGGGUACCUGAGGAGUGCCU
rnacentral:lncRNA from 1 species